rnacentral:rRNA from 1 species
UACAGAGGUGGCUAGCGUUGUUCGGAAUUACUGGGCGUAAAGGGCGCGUAGGCGGCUUCGUAAGUCCUGUGUGAAAUCCCCCGGCUCAACUGGGGAACUGCACAGGAGACUGCGAGGCUCGAGUUCGGGAGAGGGAAGCGGAAUUCCGGGUGUAGCGGUGAAAUGCGUAGAUAUCCGGAGGAACACCGGUGGCGAAGGCGGCUUCCUGGACCGACACUGACGCUGAGGCGCGAAAGCUAGGGUAGCAAACGGG